rnacentral:rRNA from 1 species
AUGGCUGUCGUCAGCUCGUGUCGUGAGAUGUUGGGUUAAGUCCCGCAACGAGCGCAACCCAUGUCUUUAGUUGCCAGCAUUCAGUUGGGCACUCUAGAGAGACCGCCGGUGAUAAACCGGAGGAAGGUGUGGAUGACGUCAAGUCAUCAUGCCCCUUACAUCCUGGGCUACACACGUACUACAAUGCUACGGACAAAGGGCAGCAAACUCGCGAGAGCUAGCAAAUCCCAUAAACCGUGGCUCAGUUCAGAUCGUAGGCUGCAACUCGCCUACGUGAAGGAGGAAUCGCUAGUAAUCGCAGGUCAGCAUACUGCGGUGAAUACGUUCCCGGGCCUUGUACACACCGCCCGUCACACCAUGGAAGUUGGCCGUGCCCGAAGUCGUUACUCCAACCCGCAAGGGAGGAGGACGCCGAAGGUGGGGCUGAUGACUGGGGUGAAGUCGUAACAAGGUAGCCGUACCGGAAGGUGCGGCUGGAUCACCUCCUAAC